rnacentral:tRNA from 2 species
CCGCCCUUAGCUCAGUUGGUAGAGCAGCUCCCUUUUAAGGAGAUGGUCGCAGGUUCGACUCCUGCAGGGCGGA